AUUGAACGCUGGCGGCAGGCCUAGCACAUGCAAGUCGAGCGGAUGACGGGAGCUUGCUCCUUGAUUCAGCGGCGGACGGGUGAGUAAUGCCUAGGAAUCUGCCUGGUAGUGGGGGACAACGUUUCGAAAGGAACGCUAAUACCGCAUACGUCCUACGGGAGAAAGCAGGGGACCUUCGGGCCUUGCGCUAUCAGAUGAGCCUAGGUCGGAUUAGCUAGUUGGUGGGGUAAUGGCUCACCAAGGCGACGAUCCGUAACUGGUCUGAGGGGAUGAUCAGUCACACUGGAACUGGUACGCGGUCCAGACUCCUACGGGAGGCAGCAGUGGUGAAUAUUGGACAAUGGGCGAAAGCCUGAUCCAGCUAUGCCGCGUGUGUGAAGAAGGUCUUCGGAUUGUAAAGCACUUUAAGUUGGGAGGAAGGGCAGUAAGUUAAUACCUUGCUGUUUUGACGUUACCGACAGAAUAAGCACCGGCUAACUCUGUGCCAGCAGCCGCCGUAACAC
rnacentral:rRNA from 1 species